AUUGAACGCUGGCGGCAGGCCUAACACAUGCAAGUCGAGCGGCAGCGGGUCCUUCGGGAUGCCGGCGAGCGGCGGACGGGUGAGUAAUGCCUAGGAAUCUGCCUGGUAGUGGGGGAUAACGUUCGGAAACGGACGCUAAUACCGCAUACGUCCUACGGGAGAAAGUGGGGGAUCUUCGGACCUCACGCUAUCAGAUGAGCCUAGGUCGGAUUAGCUAGUUGGUGGGGUAAAGGCUCACCAAGGCGACGAUCCGUAACUGGUCUGAGAGGAUGAUCAGUCACACUGGAACUGAGACACGGUCCAGACUCCUACGGGAGGCAGCAGUGGGGAAUAUUGGACAAUGGGCGAAAGCCUGAUCCAGCCAUGCCGCGUGUGUGAAGAAGGUCUUCGGAUUGUAAAGCACUUUAAGUUGGGAGGAAGGGCAGUAAGUUAAUACCUUGCUGUUUUGACGUUACCAACAGAAUAAGCACCGGCUAACUUCGUGCCAGCCGCCGCAGUAACAC
rnacentral:rRNA from 1 species